UACGUAGGGCGCAAGCGUUGUCCGGAAUUAUUGGGCGUAAAGAGCUCGUAGGCGGCUUGUCACGUCGGGUGUGAAAGCCCGGGGCUUAACCCCGGGUCUGCAUUCGAUACGGGCUAGCUAGAGUGUGGUAGGGGAGAUCGGAAUUCCUGGUGUAGCGGUGAAAUGCGCAGAUAUCAGGAGGAACACCGGUGGCGAAGGCGGAUCUCUGGGCCAUUACUGACGCUGAGGAGCGAAAGCGUGGGGAGCGAACAGG
rnacentral:ncRNA from 4 species